AGUGAACGCUGGCGGUAGGCCUAACACAUGCAAGUCGAACGGCAGCACAGUAAGAGCUUGCUCUUACGGGUGGCGAGUGGCGGACGGGUGAGGAAUACAUCGGAAUCUACUUUUUCGUGGGGGAUAACGUAGGGGAACUUACGCUAAUACCGCAUCCGACCUACGGGUGAAAGCAGGGGAUCUUCGGACCUUGCGCGAUUGAAUGCGCCGAUGUCGGAUUAGCUAGUUGGCGGGGUAAAGGCCCACCAAGGCGACGAUCCGUAGCUGGUCUGAGAGGAUGAUCAGCCACACUGGAACUGAGACACGGUCCAGACUCCUACGGGAGGGAGCAGUGGGGAAUAUUGGACAAUGGGCGCAAGCCUGAUCCAGCCAUACCGCGUGGGUGAAGAAGGCCUUCGGGUUGUAAAGCCCUUUUGUUGGGAAAGAAAAGCAGCAGGUUAAUACCCCGCUGUUCUGACGGUACCCAAAGAAUAAGCACCGGCUAACUUCGUG
rnacentral:rRNA from 1 species